rnacentral:rRNA from 1 species
UACGAGGGGGGCGAGCGUUGUUCGGAAUUAUUGGGCGUAAAGGGUGCGUAGGCGGUUUGGUAAGUCUGAUGUGAAAUCUCACAGCUUAACUGUGAAACUGCAUUGGAUACUAUCCGGCUAGAGGAAUGGAGGGGAGACUGGAAUACUUGGUGUAGCAGUGAAAUGCGUAGAUAUCAAGUGGAACACCAGUGGCGAAGGCGAGUCUCUGGACAUUUCCUGACGCUGAGGCACGAAAGCCAGGGGAGCAAACGGG